GACGAACGCUGGCGGCGUGCUUAACACAUGCAAGUCGAACGCUGAAGCACCAGCUUGCUGGUGUGGAUGAGUGGCGAACGGGUGAGUAAUACGUGAGUAACCUGCCCUUGACUCUGGGAUAAGCCCGGGAAACUGGGUCUAAUACUGGAUGCUACAUGUCACCGCAUGGUGGUGUGUGGAAAGGGUUUACUGGUCUUGGAUGGGCUCACGGCCUAUCAGCUUGUUGGUGAGGUAAUGGCUCACCAAGGCGACGACGGGUAGCCGGCCUGAGAGGGUGACCGGCCACACUGGGACUGAGACACGGCCCAGACUCCUACGGGAGGCAGCAGGGGGGAAUAUUGCACAAUGGGCGAAAGCCUGAUGCAGCGACGCCGCGGGAGGGAUGACGGCCUUCGGGUUGGAAACCUCUUUCAGCAGGGAAGAAGCCACAAGUGACGGUACCUGCAGAAGAAGCGCCGGCUAACUACGUG
rnacentral:rRNA from 1 species